UCAUGCAGUAAUAAAAUACAUGGCAAUAUUUAUAGGGAUGCACCGAUACCACUUUUUUCAGACCAAGUACAAGUACUUACAUUUGGGUACUUGCCGAUACCAAGUACCGAUAUGAGUACUUCACACUUUUCGGAAUGCACCACGUCUGAAGCAUGUCAUCAAAUGGACCUGCUAUGGCUUGGCCAGUGUGCGAACCCCUAAACUGCGUUGCUUGUAAAACGACUCUCUGGGGAGUGAAACCCUCAUCAAUCCACUGUGCUGUUAAACUUAUCAGAGACAUUGGGCUGACACUGCUAAUCCAAAGAUCAGUGGUGAAGUCAUGCAGCUUUGGUAAUGCGGUAUCUGUAAUGUGGUGACGGCUGAGAAUCUCAUACUUCGGCUCAAGUACACCAAGAAGACGACGAAAUCCUGUACUAUGUACAACUGACAACGGUUGGUCAUCAAGAGCAAUGAACUGGGUAAGAGUUUCUGUUAUUAUUACUGCCCGUGGGUUGUCUCUGGACAUUUUCUCUCGCUUCUCCAGCGUUUGGUGCAAAGUUGGUUGUUGCUGUUUCCCGCUGCUAGCAUUAGCAAACUCUUUGCACUCGGCGUUAUGUUUGUUCUUUAGAUGUUUAAUCAAAUUGCUUGUGUUAAAUGAGCUAUUUUUACCCCUCCUCUUGACAGUUUAGCAGAGCAUAGUUUGCAGUCUGCUCUACUUUUAUCAUCACUUAUCUUAAAAUAUCUCCAAAUUGCUGACAUUGCUCUUCUUCCGACUACCUGCUCAACUGACGAGAGGUUAGGCUAUGUCACGUUGUCAUAAAGUGGUAUCGGUGCAGUUGUAUCGGGGUAGUUUUACAAGUACGAGUACGAGUACAUGAGCACAGUAUCAGGCCGACACCCGAGUACUGGUAUCGGUGCAUCCCUAAAUAUUUACAUAUGAUUUAAGAGUUUAUUUUGUAAAAUAUCAGAAAUCUAAGGAGGUAUGCGUUAUACCUGACACCUAGAUGAACACUUUACAGUGGGUUAUAUGACUGUAAGUCAUUCCCUUCAAAUGCUAUUGAAGUUAGAAUCGUGUUUAACAAUGUCGUAUGUAACUUUAGAGACGGUCCCUUAAUCUCCGCAUAUCCGCGAAUAUCGAACAAACCAACUUUAUUCCAGUGAAAUGCAGCUUAGCUAUCGAAAUUAAUUAGCACUUGAUACAGAAGAAUAAAAUGAUCAUAUGAUGAUGUGAUGCAGAUAGAGAGAGAAAACAAACACAUCCAAACAAAUCUUUAAGUUUAUUCUCUUUAAUUCUCUGAAUAAUCAUCAUUUACAACAUGAAACUGUAAUUAAUGGAGACUGGUUGUGUUAAAAGCAUCUAAAGCUCCGAGUUCACACACACACACACACAAGGAACAUGUGGAGGAGCAGGUGGACCUGGCCCUGUGCACCAGCAGCAUCAUUACGGGUCAUCCGUUAGUUGAAGGAGUGAGCUGACGGCUCCACUAACAGCAAAUAACAUUUUCAUACUUUAUGACGCUGCAUUUCCAGUCCAAACCCAUCAGCCGUGUGAUUGACAUCAUCUCCCAAACGGUGGAAUCCUGUCCUGCACUGUUCCCCAAAGGAACGUCACACAGAGGAUCAUCUCAGGAAAGUGGCGUGCACAUUGGCGCUGCAGAUGAUUUCCCGAACUGUUAGAAUCAGCGUGCGGCAGAUUAUAGACGCACACAGGAAGUCUUGGCCUUCAGGUCGUUCACUCCCCUGCACCGUUUCACUGUGGUGUGCAAUCAGCUGAAGGUUUUCUACACUUCCUUCUCUAAAGGUGCUGCUGAUGCUGAAGUGACAGAUGCAUCAGCGCGGUUAGAGAGGGAUGAGGAUUGCAGCUUUGUGGACAAAUUGACAGGUUGUGUGACUUGUGCUCUGUGUGUCGUACUGUAUUAACAGUUUGCAUUCCAAGUCUCCUCAGAUAUCAGCAGCUGGAUUGGAGGAGACUCGGGAACAUCUGAGCAUCACAGAUGAGCAGAAUCGACCCGGCCAGAACAGUCACGCUCCUGGAAGUGACGAAUGAUCCUCACAUCCCGCAGCUGAGGAUCAGGAGAAGAAAAAGAGGCUUGGAUUUCACUUUCUUCUGAGAACGAACAGGCGCGGGAUCAGACGUGGUGUUAGGAUAUGCAGGACUUUUUCCCUAAACGUUCUCCCGUGGUUUUGAGUUCAGUUUUGGGUGGAUUUUAUUUGUAGUUACUGAUUAUUGAAUGGUUUAUUUAACACCGGUCACUGGAUUUACAGCUUUAAUCACAUUCUUUACGGUUACUACUCAUCUGAGACGUGCGGUUCUGCUUCCUCAUUUGUCUUUUUUCCACAAAUCUCAGCAUCCCAACAAGUGGAAGAAGAAGCGGAGCAGAAAAAGAACCAAUCAAACAAAACAGAACGAUCAUAAAUAACCUCGUAACCGUCCGAAACAAAGAACUAAACACACAAACAAAAAUAAAAACAACUCUGAUGGUUUAAAAACUUACAAAAUAAUAAUAAUACACUAAAACAGUUCUGCUUUAAAACUGAUCUUUUCUCUCUUUUCUGCUUACAGUUAUGAUCACAUCACAGCCUUUCAACAGGACUGAUAAACUCGUGUACAAAUCUAUUUCAAACUUUUACUGUAUCUUUAGAUUUUAUUUUACACAUUUUGAAAUCACUUUCUACAGAUAUGAAUGACUUUACGUCUAUUUGUGAAUGUUUAUUAAGUGUGUAUAUAUUUAGUGAAUCUUACACGUGUGUGUGCGCGUAUGUGUGUGUGUGUGUGAAAGGUAUUGAUACUGUUUUAACUUCACUUUGACUUUUAUUUACUGCAUGGCAGUGAGGGGUUGUCUUUUUUCCCCCUUCUUUUAAUCAGUUUCUUUCCCUUCAGCAAUUCUCUCUUCUUCACAAGAGUCAUGUUCCUGUUCUAGAUUGAGGGAAAGAAGGUUCUGCCUGGGGCCCGAGAGCUCACACACUCUACAACUCUAUAAAGAACGUUAACAUUGUCAUUUAAUAUACACACACAUGCACAGACCUUCAUUUAUCAAUCUUUUAGUAAAGUGGUGUGUAAAUAUUUGUGUAAACAAAACCGAACUAAAACUUUCCACCGUAUUUACACCUCAGAAACGCUGAUUUUCUUCGUACCCGCGUGCGUUUGUUGAUCAGCUGUAAAUUGCGACGCACGCUCCCGACACGGCUCAUUUACAUUUAGCGACGCCCACAAAACUCCAUAAAAGAUGAGAGUGAAGAGAACGGAUCAUACUGAUUAUUUCUUAUCCAUGUGAAGACAGUUGGAAAAGAAAAUGAACGUUGGAUAAGAAACAGACUCUAUUUACAUUUUUCCUGGACAAUAAACUUCUGAAAUGAAUAAGGUGAACUGCUCCACAUCACUGUGUGUAUUUAUGAUGACCGUUAGAUACAUGACGUGUUCAGCGUGGCUCCAGACGGUGAGAUGGAGUAAUUCACCGUCUCCAUGCGGCAGGUCAGUAUUACAGCGUGGCUCUACUGAACACGGUCACUACCUACCUAACAUCACUGCUACGAGAGCUACACUGAGCACCACGAGGCUGUGAGCUGCACAAUUACAGGCGUGAUCCAGCAGCUGGGCGUCCUGCACCGUGGAGCGUAUGAGGCCCACGAAGCUCGACACUCUGGCGUACACGCCGGGUCGGUUCUUCUGAGCGCAUCCCAGUCCAAAACUCACAAUGCCCGCCUGGAUCCACGUGCCGUUCCCGGUGGAACAGACGAGCGGUCCGCCGGAGUCCCCCUGAGAGAGGAAACAUCCUAAAUUUCAAAACACUGACAUGAAGAUCCGAGUGUUGAUGUACACUUUAAGUAUAUCAGGUGCUAAAGGUGCCACCAGUUCAAAAGUGUCUCCACACCUGGAACAAUGUGAGUUCAGUCUUUUAGGACUAUGUAUUCAUUCCCAUAAACUCGGCCAAAUUCUGUAACAGACUGUGUGAGAAUAUAUUUCCAAAUGCAGGGCUGUGAAAAAGUAGUGAUUUCUUCUGAGUAAACACACAAUACGGGUUUUAAAUGAUCACGUUAUUUAUUGAAGCAAAAAAGUUCUCCAAAACCAACUGGGCAUUUGUGAAACUGUAUUUGCCCCCGUAGUUAUUAAUUCCCCACAUCUUUGACACUGCAUUGAUAAUGGGGUUCAGCUGGACGAGACACAACCAGACCUGAUUACUGCAAACCCUGUUCAAUCACAUCUACACUUACACAGAACUUUCUCAGCAGCAUGGAGUUGGUUAAAAGUUAUUUCCCAGUAACACACUACGGCAAAGCUGAAAGAAAUUCCAGAAAUGAUGAGGAAGAAGAUGAUUGAAGUACAUCAGUCUGGGAAGGGUUACAAAGCUAUUUCAAAGGCUCUGGGACUCCAAAGAACCACGGCGAGAGCCGUUAUCUUCAAAUGGAAAAACUCGGCACAGUAGUGAACCUUCCCAGAAGUGUCCGACCUUCCAAAAUUCCUCCAAGAGCACAGCGACGACUCAUCCAGGAAGUCACAGAAGAGCCAAGGACAACAUCAAAGGACCUACAGGCCUCUCCUGCAUCAAUAAAGGUCACUGUUCAUGACUCCACUAUCAGAAAGACACUGGGGGAAAACGGCUCCAUGGAAGAGUGGCGAGGUGAAAACCACUGCUAACCCAGAAGAACAUUAAGACUCGUCUGAAUUUCACCAAAACACACCUCGAUGAUCCUCAAACCUUUUGGGAGAAUGUCCUGUGGACUGAUGAGUCGAAGUGGAACUGUCUGAGACGGGUGUCCCGUCACAUCUGGCGUAAACCAGACACAGAAUUCCACAAAAAGAACAUCAUACCUACGGUCAAGCAUGGUGGAGGCAGUGUGAUGGUGUGGGGAUGCUUUACUGCUUCAGGGUCUGGGCAACUUGCAGUAAUUGAGGGAAACAUGAAUUCUGCUCUCUACCAGAAAAUCCUAAAGGAGAAUGUCCGGUCUUCAGUCCAUAAGCUGAAACUCAAGCUAAAUUAAAGUUUUGGAGCGGCCUAGUCAAAGGCCUGACUUGAACCAAUUGGCAGGACCUUAAACGGACAGUUCAUGCUCGAAAACCCUUAGAUGUGGCUGAACUAAAGCAGUUCUUCAAAGAAGAGUGGGCCAGAAUUCCACCACAGCGCUGUGAAAGACUGAUCUCCAGCUAUCUGAAGAGUUUGGUUGCAGUUAUUGCUGAUAAAAGUGGCACAACCAAAUUUUAAGUUUAAGGGGGCAAUUAGUUUUCACACAGGUGAUUUCUGCCGUAGUGCAAGUGUUUAGAGGUGAGUGUUUGUGGUUACUACCUGACAUGAGUCCUUGCCCCCCUCCUGGUAUCCAGCACAGAUCAUGUCUGACAGGAUGGACACCGUGUCCGCGUUAGACGCAUCGAUCUGGUACAUGGAGUUGCAGGAAUCUUGGUCAAUAAUGGGCACUCCGACUUCCCGUAGCGUCCCGACUCCAGACAGCGAGACUGUAGAGGGAAGAACGGCAUUGUACUGUCACACUGCACUGAAACUGAUCAUUAUUACACACACACUUCACUUCAGGUUGAGUUAAAGAGUUUCAGUUACGUGAUUUUCCUUUUAUUUAAUUAACUAACUUUUGUUAAUGUUAGCAAAACUUGCUGCUGAGAUAAACUUGAGUUGUCACAUAAUGUACAAGCUAGCUUUCAUAGCUAUGAGGCAGCAUGAUGUGGAGGACCUACUGCACUUCUGCUUUGUUGAAGAUUGAAGAUUGUUGAAGAUACUUAAUGAAGCAGGGAUACAAUAACACUGAAGCAGGCACGCCCAUAUUCGCCCAUAUACGGUGUGAUGUCACGUGAAACUUGUUCUUACUGGUUAAUGAGAAUGGCGAGAGAAAAAGCUCUGAUUGCUUUCAAUGGAAUUCCACAAGAAUUUAAAACCAGGAAACGACAAAGUGCAGUAAAACAGCUGUGAGAGGGAAAUAAGUACAGUAGAAAAUCUCAGAUUAAUGAAUGCAUAAUUCCACUCCAUCAUUGGUUUAUUCCUGCAUCUCAGUGGGAUUUAUGAGUGCUGCCAGAGCUGGUAGUUAGAGAACAUAGGAGCAGGCGAGAUUAAAGUAUUAAAUCUUUCCUCAAACGUGUGUGUGUGUGUGUGUAAUAAUCCAGAUUACUGAUAUUAUUCGUGUUAACCCUGCAGAGGCCUUUCAGAUCCAGUGUGUUGGUGUUAAACACUUAAGCAGGUAUUUAAAUAUCUGUGCAUAUCUCUAAUCUAUUCCAUCUCAAAAGGUCUCGUAUGACCCAAAAACCCACACACCCCUCUGUGUUUUCAGUCAUGGCUCGAUGAUGUCUCAGCUAACCGAGGCAACGAGUUCAUGUAAACCGAUAGCACCGUUUAUUUAUCUAGCCGAGUGGCAUCCUGCUGUGUCAUGUCCUUCAGCCUGUGACGUAGCACAUGGUUCCAGCGUAGAACUGGAAGUCGGCGUUGGGCAGACACACGGGCUGGAUCUGGUUUGUCCAGGUGAGCGGCGAGCUCAG